GUGGGGAAUAUUGGACAAUGGGCGAAAGCCUGAUCCAGCCAUGCCGCGUGUGUGAAGACGGUCUUCGGAUUGUAAAGCACUUUAAGUUGGGAGGAAGGGCAGUAAGUUAAUACCUUGCUGUUUUGACGUUACCAACAGAAUAAGCACCGGCUAACUUCGUGCCAGCAGCCGCGGUAAUACGAAGGGUGCAAGCGUUAAUCGGAAUUACUGGGCGUAAAGCGCGCGUAGGUGGUUCAGCAAGUUGAAGGUGAAAUCCCCGGGCUCAACCUGGGAACUGCCUCCAAAACUACUGAGCUAGAGUACGGUAGAGGGUAGUGGAAUUUCCUGUGUAGCGGUGAAAUGCGUAGAUAUAGGAAGGAACACCAGUGGCGAAGGCGACUACCUGGACUGAUACUGACACUGAGGUGCGAAAGCGUGGGGAGCAAACAGGAUUAGAUACCCGAGUAGUCC
rnacentral:rRNA from 1 species